rnacentral:lncRNA from 1 species
GGAAUAGGCCACCUGCACACACAGAGGGAGACAAAGGACAGACAUCAGAAAACACAAAAGUCUCAGAGUUUGACUGAAACAAAGUGUGACAAGCUCCACUCUGACAG